AUACAAAAACUGGAACAGGGGCCGACAUUGGUUUGUCCGCCCAUUAAUUGAUUAAGUACAAUACAAGCACGGGCCUUAGCCAAUUUAAGAAAGCAAUAACUUGUUAAAGAUUUGCAAGCAUUUGGUAGUUGGUACAAGUGGAUGACAGCUAAGCUUGCCUAAGCAUUGGGUUGUCCGUCCAUUUGCAACAACUUGACCUUCACUGUGACAGUCAAGCAAUGAAGACCUGCAGAAAUGGCAAAAACGCAGCGAGAGCGAGAGAGACAGAGACAAAGAAGAAGAAUAAGAAGAAAUAAAGAUGCAAUCUCAUGGUUUGACAGCACCUCAUGGUGGUUGAAGCUUCAACAAUGGCUGUAUGAAGGAGUGAUUCAGUUAAAUGAGGAGAGGAAGAGACCGAGGAGGGAAGAGAGAGAGUUUGGCGUUGGGAAGUUGAAGUUGUGAAGUUUUGAAAGUGUGAAAAGCUGAAGUUGUGGAGUUUUGUAAGCCUGAAAGACAGGAAGACAGAGAGCGGUUAGCAUUAAAGACUAUUUAGCUUGGUUGGGGCUUUACGGUGGUCAGCCUUAACUGUAAUAUAUAAAGAUUGGGCUUUAAAGUGGAGAUUAGGUUGAGAAUAAUUUCUUUUUAACGGUAUAUUAAAAUUAUGAAAAAAUUUUAGAGAAAAGAAAGGUAAUUACGUGGCUGUUGAUGUGGUUCAA